rnacentral:lncRNA from 1 species
AAAGCUGUCAGGUAUCUUAUAAAUUUGAUCGACGAAAGUAAGUGACACGAUUUUCAUGAUGGUUGGUUGGAUUUUAUGCAAGAAAAUAUAUAAUGGAGUUGUCUAUGAAAGCUGUCAGAUAUCUCAUGAAUUUGAUCGACGAAAAGUGAUAUGAUUUUCGAGAAUUCAAUCGACGAAAGUAAGUGGCACGAUUUUUGAGGUGACUAGUUGGGUUUUAUGCAGAACAACUAUAUUAUAGAGUGAAAAAGGGGAAGGGGUGUUGUUGAUGGAGUAAAAGGGUGCGUAAAUGUGUGAGUUUCUUGGGUUUUUGUUGAGA